CUCAAAUUAGAUCAGAAUAAAGACAAGGACACAGAUCCUAUUCUCUUACCAUUUGGGGGUGUAAAUGAGUGGGAUCUUCAGCCUAAAUCAGGCUAGUUGCACCCAUUACGGGCCACGAGAUCUUACCCAGAAUAUCGCAAGGCAAGAAAAAGAUGAGAAAAGAGAAGAAAAGGAAAGAAAAGAAGCACCCUGACGUAGAUUUCGUUCCGAUUCUCUCCAUUCGCCGCGUCUCGGGACUGCUAAGAAAAUUUGACAAUGCCUCGAACAAAAGAAAAACAAUAAAAGAAUUGUUUUUGAUUGGUGGGGCUGGCUCGGGUGGUGAGAAUCGAGGAGCAGAUAUUCAACAGAAGUUUUGCAUGUGUUCCACUUGUCUGGCUUUGCCUUCUUGUUCUACCCUUUUGUUAGCACUGCGAGAAGAGGCUUUCUGGAAAGUGAAUCUUCACUAUACUCGUGAGGUGUAUUAUGGUUCUUGAUGUUUUCAAACAGUUCAAAGCAACUGAAGAACAACCAUCAUGGAAAAGAAUUAGAUA